rnacentral:rRNA from 1 species
GAUGAACGCUGGCGGCGUGCCUAAUACAUGCAAGUAGAACGCUGAAGGAAGGAGCUUGCUCUUUCCGGAUGAGUUGCGAACGGGUGAGUAAAGCGUAGGUAACCUGCCUGGUAGCGGGGGAUAACUAUUGGAAACGAUAGCUAAUACCGCAUAACAGUAGAUGUUGCAUGAUAUCUACUUAAAAGGUGCAAUUGCACCACUACCAGAUGGACCUGCGUUGUAUUAGCUAGUUGGUGAGGUAACGGCUCACCAAGGCGAAGAUACAGAGCCGACCUGAGAGGGGUGAUCGGCAAACCGGGACUGGGAACAGGGCCAGGAUUCUACGGGAGGGAGGAGGAGGGGAAUUUCGGGAAUAGGAGGAAGGCUGGACGGGGAACGCCGGGGGAGGGAAGAAGGUUUUCGGGACGGAAAGCUCGGUUGUAAGGGAAGAAAGAGGGUGAGAGUGGAAAGUUCACACUGUGACGGUAUCUGACCAGAAAGGGACGGCUAACUACGUG